rnacentral:rRNA from 1 species
AGACAGAGGGGGCAAGCGUUGCUCGGAAUCACUGGGCGUAAAGGGCGCGUAGGCGGGAUGGCAAGUCGGUCGUGAAAUCCCUCGGCUCAACCGAGGAGCGUCGGCCGAUACUGCCGUUCUUGAGGGAUGCAGAGGAGACUGGAAUUCCCGGUGUAGCGGUGAAAUGUGUAGAGAUCGGGAGGAACACCGGUGGCGAAGGCGGGUCUCUGGGCAUCCCCUGACGCUGAGGCGCGAAAGCGUGGGGAGCAAACG